rnacentral:rRNA from 1 species
UACGUAGGGUGCAAGCGUUGUCCGGAAUUAUUGGGCGUAAAGAGCUCGUAGGCGGCUAGUCACGUCGGAUGUGAAAACCCGAGGCUCAACCUCGGGCCUGCAUUCGAUACGGGCUGGCUAGAGUACUGCAGGGGAGACUGGAAUUCCUGGUGUAGCGGUGAAAUGCGCAGAUAUCAGGAGGAACACCGAUGGCGAAGGCAGGUCUCUGGGCAGUAACUGACGCUGAGGAGCGAAAGCAUGGGGAGCGAACAGG